CUACAGUUGGACUUGCCACAUCCAAAAACUGUGGUGAGUAUUCUGGAAAAAGUAAAGAGAUAGUACCCGAGGAAUCAAAAAUCUGAGUACUUGAAAUUCGACUCCCGAUAUAGCUUAAGAUAGUCGGUAGAUAGCUCACUUUGUUGAGGGC